rnacentral:rRNA from 1 species
AACGAACGCUGGCGGCAGGCUUAACACAUGCAAGUCGAGCGCCCCGCAAGGGGAGCGGCAGACGGGUGAGUAACGCGUGGGAUUCUACCCACCUCUACGGAACAACUCCGGGAAACUGGAGCUAAUACCGUAUACGUUCUUCGGGAGAAAGAUUUAUCGGAGAUGGAUGAGCCCGAGUUGGAUUAGCUAGUUGGGGGGGUAAUGGCCUACCAAGGCGACGAUCCAUAGCUGGUCUGAGAGGAUGAUCAGCCACACUGGGACUGAGACACGGCCCAGACUCCUACUGGAUGCAGCAGUGGGGAAUAUUGGACAAUGGGCGAAAGCCUGAUCCAGCCAUGCCGCGUGAGUGAUGAAGGCCCUAGGGUUGUAAAGCUCUUUCACCGGUGAAGAUAAUGACGGUAAUCGGAGAAGAAGCCCCGGCUAACUUCGUGCCAGCCGCCGCCGUAAAAC